UACGAAGGGGACUAGCGUUGUUCGGAAUCACUGGGCGUAAAGCGCACGUAGGCGGCGCGUUAAGUCAGGGGUGAAAUCAUGGAGCUCAACUCCAGAACUGCCUUUGAUACUGGCGUGCUCGAGUGUUGGAGAGGUUGGUGGAACUCCGAGUGUAGAGGUGAAAUUCGUAGAUAUUCGGAAGAACACCAGUGGCGAAGGCGGCCAACUGUCCCAUUACGGACGCUGAGGUGCGAAAGCGUGGGGAGCAAACAGG
rnacentral:rRNA from 1 species